rnacentral:rRNA from 1 species
CCUACGGGUGGCUGCAGUAGGGAAUAUUGCUCAAUGGGGGAAACCCUGAAGCAGCAACGCCGCGUGGAGGAUGAAGGUUUUCGGAUUGUAAACUUCUUUUGUCAAGGGACAAAAUCAGGCUCGAGAGCCUGACCGAGGGUACUUGAAGAAAAAGCAUCGGCUAACUCCGUGCCAGCAGCCGCGGUAAUACGGAGGAUGCGAGCGUUAUCCGGAUUUAUUGGGUUUAAAGGGUGCGUAGGCGGACUGUUAAGUCAGCGGUAAAAGCCCGGGGCUCAACCCCGGCGAGCCGUUGAAACUGGCUGUCUUGAGAUGUCGAGAGGUAUGCGGAAUGCGCAGUGUAGCGGUGAAAUGCUUAGAUAUUGCGCAGAACUCCGAUUGCGAAGGCAGCAUACCGGCGGCGAUCUGACGCUGAGGCACGAAAGCGUGGGUAUCGAACAGGAUUAGAUACCCUGGUAGUC